rnacentral:rRNA from 1 species
CACUAGUGAUUGAGUUUGAUCAUGGCUCAGGACGAACGCUGGCGGCGUGCCUAAUACAUGCAAGUCGAGCGAAUCAAUGGGAGCUUGCUCCUGUUGGUUAGCGGCGGACGGGUGAGUAACACGUGGGCAACCUGCCUGUAAGACUGGGAUAACACCGGGAAACCGGUGCUAAUACCGGAUAAUCCUUUUCCUCUCAUGAGGAAAAGCUGAAAGUCGGUUUUGGCUGACACUUACAGAUGGGCCCGCGGCGCAUUAGCUAGUUGGUGAGGUAACGGCUCACCAAGGUGACGAUGCGUAGCCGACCUGAGAGGGUGAUCGGCCACACUGGGACUGAGACACGGCCCAGACUCCUACGGGAGGCAGCAGUAGGGAAUCUUCCACAAUGGACGAAAGUCUGAUGGAGCAACGCCGCGUGAGCGAUGAAGGCCUUCGGGUCGUAAAGCUCUGUUGUUAGGGAAGAACAAGUACCGGAGUAACUGCCGGUACCUUGACGGUACCUAACCAGAAAGCCACGGCUAACUA